AAUACAGACUGCGCAGUUAAAUUUGAAUAUCAUAAACAAUGAAUACUCUUUUUUAGCAUAAAUAUGUCCCACACAAUAUUUGGGACAUACUUAUAUUAAAAAUUUUGGUUAUUUAUCUGACAUUCAACUUUAACUGGACAUCCUGUAUUUU
ensembl:miRNA